rnacentral:lncRNA from 1 species
AAAACGUUACUUUUGGUCCUUUUGAUUUAUCAUUUUUAUCAUUAAGGUUUCCGUGGUUUCAAUUUGAUCUUUUUUACCCUGUGGUUUCAAUUUGAAGCAAUUCAAGGAUAAUUUUCAAUUUCUAUCAAUUUUUUUUAACUUAAUGCUAUUUGUUGAGAGACAAUUUAGUCUCUAAAUUAUUAAAAAUUAAUUCCUUUUAAAAAUAAAGAAUAUAAAUAUAAAUAAUAAAAAAUUAGUUUCAAAAUAAAAUAAAACAUCUAUGUCCCUUUUUUCUCCUAACUCCCACCGACAGUCCCUACCCAACACCAGCCAGCUGCCACCUCCUUAUAACUCAACUUAACAAAAAAAAAAUUAAAAUAAAACAUAUCUUAUCGUAUGCUAUUGGCACAAGAGUGUUGGGAAAGAAUGAGAGUUACACCUCCAUAACCAUUAGAGAGUUGUGUUUGACUCUUUAUUUUAGAAAGAAUUUUAAGGCCCAUUUACAAUUAAUCAUCUCUGCCUACAAGUACAAAUGGGAAAUUGAACAAACUCUUUAUGCUGAAGAAGAAUAAAGAAUAAUUACAUUUGCUCUUCUUCAUUCAUUGCCUGCAAGUGCUAAUUAUAAGAGCAGUUCCAGCAACAAGGAUUAGGAAGGGGGGGUGGUUUGGUUUAGGCCCAAAAAUUGUUUCCAGUAGCAAAGCCUGGCCCUGGCAGGAGAUGAGGCCCACGAACUUAGGCUAGCUCUCAGGCAAGAUCUGUCUUAGUUCCAGCCCGAGUUUGAUGACGUCAGCAACAAAAUUUUUUUUAGAAAAAUCUAAAAAAAAUACAAAAAUUUUCAGAUUUU